rnacentral:rRNA from 1 species
GCGCAGCAGUCGCGAAUAGUCUACAAUGGACGAAAGUCUGAUAGUGCGACGCCGUGUGUGCGAUUAAUUCCUUCGGGAUGUAAAGCACUUUUCUAUGAGAUAAAAGCUCUUUAGGUUAAUAGCUUAUUGAGACGGAUAUUAUUAUAGGAAUAAGCUCCGGCUAACUCCGUGCCAGCAGCCGCGGUAAUACGGAAGGAGCGAGCGUUGUCCGGAUUUACUAGGCGUAAAGGGCUAGUAGGCGACUAAUUAAGUUAUAUGUUAAAUCCCACGGCUCAACUGUGGUCCUGCAUGUAAUACUGGUUAGAUAGAGUACUGUAGAGGAAGGCAGAAUUCCUGGAGUAGCGGUGGAAUGCGCAGAUAUCAGGAAGAAUACCAAAAGCGAAGGCAGCCUUCUGGGCAGUUACUGACGCUGAAUAGCGAAGGUGUGGGUAGCGAACAGGAUUAGAUACCCCCGUAGU